rnacentral:misc_RNA from 1 species
UUUCCGUAGGUGAACCUGCGGAAGGAUCAUUCAUAAUAAGUGUUUUACUGCACUUUUUAAAAAUAGUACUCACCUUGUGGGCAAUGUUGUGUUUCUUUUCGGAGAAACACCUACACCAACCUAUAACCUUGAACCACUUUGUCUGAAAAACUAUUAUGAAUACUUAAUUCAAAAUACAACUUUCAACAACGGAUCUCUUGGCUCUC